rnacentral:rRNA from 1 species
AAUGAACGCUGGCGGCGUGCCUAACACAUGCAAGUCGAACGACAACACGAGGAGCUUUUUCUCUUGAGGUUAGCGGCGGACGGGCGAGUAACACGUGGAUCGCCUACCUCUUUGACUGGGAUAAUAACGGGAGACAGGUUCUACUACCGCCUCAUAUAUCGUACUGGUUGGUUCAAUAGUGCUAGAAGCUUUUGCUGUCUCUUAUAGCCGAAUCCGGGUCGGAUUAGCUAGUUGGUAAGGUAAAGGCUUACCAAGGCGACGAUGCGUAGCCGACCUGAGAGGGUGAUCGGCCACACUGGAACUGAGACACGGUCCAGACUCCUACGGGAGGCAGCAGUAGGGAAUAUUCGGCAAUGGGCGAAAGCUUGAUGGAGCAAUACCGCGUGAGUGAUGAAGGCCUUCGGGUUGUAAAGCCCUGUUGUUGGGAAAGAAAAGAAGUAUGUUUAACCAUGGACGUUUUGACGGUACCCAAAGAAUAAGCACCGGCUAACUUCGUG